UUCCAGUGUGCCCCAAGGAAGCCAAAAGAUUGGACACCCCUGGAAACUCAUCAGUCAGAGGAGAUGUGAGGGAGAGGCCUGAAGUGACCCUUUCUGGAAAUUCUUCCAUAUGAAAACAUGGGAGGAGGGAGUUUCCUAUGUAGGAACCACAUGUGCAAAAAUGGCAAAAGAAAGAGAGGAGCAAGAGAUCCGCUUAUGAUAAUCCAACAAAACAAUAACUGGAACAGAAAAGAAAACGACUGCCAAUCAAACCCCUGAGUGACUCCACAUUGUCUUUAAUUCUCCGCUAAUCAAAGAGCAGCACACAGUUGUGAGAGGUGGUCGGAGCCGGGGAGAUUAUGCGGAGAGUGACUCCAUUCAGAGAAAUUUUGGCACGAUUCCUAACCUCUUAGCCUGAGGGAGAAUUUCUUAAAUUUUAUUUGUGGUUCUCACCUGAGAGAAUUGAUGCCUUCAAGAGAGCACCAGGCAGAGGCUAAACAGACAUGGAAUAAAAUUAUCCUCCUUGGAUAGGUCAGGAGCUGGCUGAUAACUUACUCUAUGCCUACAUCAAUCAGGUAGCAGCAGGGGCGUCCACAGUCAAGGAGAGCUGAAGGUGGCAGGGCUUACAGCCGCAGAUCAUCCUAAAUAAAGAUACAGAAGGCAGACUCUCAUAAAAGAAACCAUAAAUGAAACAAU
rnacentral:lncRNA from 1 species